rnacentral:lncRNA from 1 species
GGCAUUGAAACGAACAAAAAAUGUUUGAAAAAAAAUGAUUUAUAUAACCACAAUUUUAAUAACAAAAUGAAGUGUUUUUUGUACAAAAAAAUGCAUUUUACAACUUUUACUGUAGUCGAACUUUACAAUGUCAGACAUUUCAAAAUUAAUCUUCAGAUGACUGUUCACAUCAUGGUUGAUCGUUAUACGCCAAAGAAUUAGUACUUUGUGCGCAGCCUCCAUUCAAACGGAUAACCGCAUCUUAACGUCUUCUGAUUCCUGCCAUAAAUCGACUAAUUUGUUGCUAAGGUAGCAGCAACCAUUUCUGAUGAAGGGCAUUGUUUAUUUCAUGAUGUGUUUGAACUGGGGUGUCCUUUCGCGCACUUUUCCGCCCAAUAGUGUCCCAUAUAUGCUCGAUAUGGUUCAAAUCCGGGCUACGAUCGGGCCAAGGAAGAUGAACCGAAUUCCAUUUGAACAUUGGAUCUUCCUCCACGAUGCUAAUUUCCAACUUUGGCGAGCUCUGCACUACAUUGGAUACGGAAAACUGUGUGUCUGUUCGUUAGCAAAGGUCUCCGAAAUGGUCUUAUCGCACGAUAACCAGUAGCGAUGAGUCGAUCUCGAACAGUUCUUGUUAAAAGGCUCCUGUAUGGCCACCACUCUCUUUUUAGGAUUGUCUUGUAUGCAAUGGGUUUCCUUCUGACCAACCUUCAUUAUGCUUGAUUUUCCCUAGCAAAUGGUAUAGGGGGUCUUCAUUAUCUCGGAAGGUCUUUAACAGCGUUUAUUGCCUGAUUUUUAUUCUCAAAACGACUUAUAGUGGAAUGGUGAUGACCAACAAUACGUGCAGUUGUUACAGCGACAUCCUGCUUCUCUUAUGCUGAUAAUCUGCCAUCUUGCUGCAGUUAAGAGUUGUCAAUGACCCAUUACAAGGUGUCAAUCACAUAACUUUAAAAACUUGGUUAUUUAAAGUGUUGAAAACAAUGAGGAUAAAAACAUCUGUUUUGCUGUUUACGGGUACAGUAGCUGCAUGUGCAGAUAAAAACUUAUCGAGUCGAUAUUUAUUGAUUAAACUCAGGUGAUACUUAAAUAAUGUUUAACUAGUUCUAUUUUACCAAAUUAUAUCACAAAAAAAAUAAAGAGUGUUUUUUAAUUUUAAUUUCAAUUUGGUGUUGCAAUACUUUUUUCCAUGUGUAUAUA